ACGAACGCUGGCGGCGUGCUUAACACAUGCAAGUCGAGCGGAAAGGCCCUUCGGGGUCCUCGAGCGGCGAACGGGUGAGUAACACGUGAGUAAUCUGCCCUUGGCUUUGGGAUAACUACCGGAAACGGUGGCUAAUACCGGAUACGACAACCGUCUGCAUGGGCUGGUUGUGGAAAGUUUUUUCGGCCAGGGAUGUGCUCGCGGCCUAUCAGCUUGUUGGUGGGGUAAUGGCCUACCAAGGCUUCGUCGGGUAGCCGGCCUGAGAGGGUGACCGGCCACACUGGGACUGAGACACGGCCCAGACUCCUACGGGAGGCAGCAGUGGGGAAUAUUGGACAAUGGGCGGAAGCCUGAUCCAGCAACGCCGCGUGAGGGAUGACGGCCUUCGGGUUGUAAACCUCUUUCAGUACCGACGAAGCGCCGAUGAUGGUGGUGACGGUAGGUACAGAAGAAGCACCGGCCAACUACGUG
rnacentral:rRNA from 1 species